UCUCCGUAGGUGAACCUGCGGAGGGAUCAUUACUGAGUGAGGGGCUCCGGCCCCAGACCUCCAACCCAUUGUUAUCCGACACUGUUGCCUCGGGGGCGACCCUGCCUUUCGGCGCGGCGCCCCCGGAGGCUCAUCAAACACUGCAUCUUUGCGUCGGAGUCUUAAUGAAUUUAAACAAAACUUUUAACAACGGAUCUCUUGGUUCUGGCAUCGAUGAAGAACGCAGC
rnacentral:misc_RNA from 1 species